UCAGACUAAAUAAACCCAACAGCUCCAGCCUUGUGUCUGAGCCUCAUCAUUGUGGUCGCUAUCUUCUUGAUUGUUCUGUCUUCUCCUUUUCAGAAGGUGGGUCUACUUUGGCCCCUAGCCAUUGACAUCUCGGUGCUUCGUCGAGGACAGUUCAUCCCUGGAAUAUUUCAGAGAAGAGAAUCAACAACUGCACAAGGAAUCACGUUCUGAUGUGGACAAUAGCAGCUGGAUUAAUGAACAGAAGAAAAUUCAGCUUCAGGUGCCAGCUCUACAACAAGACUUCUUGGCAGCUGGGGACUCUGGGACUUCUUCCUGCCACAUAUGAACCACAAAUAGACGAGGACUAUAAGGGAGUUCAUUAGUUUGGAAGAAGGUACUCAAAGGUCUCAGGUAAGUGGACAGGGGGUGCUGAGAUGCUGUCCCUUCGGAUCAGUCAGCUUUUAGAUAUCAUCUGACCCAAGUCAGCAUGAAAGAGUUUGAGGUUCUACUGUUUUGUAAAGAUGCUGUUUUCAAAGAAUCUCCAAGUACCUCUGUUUGCACAAUGGCUGCACAUGUGCUCUAUCCAGAACAGG
rnacentral:lncRNA from 1 species